UACGUAGGGGGCCAGCGUUGUCCGAAGUUACUGGGCGUAAAGAGCGCGUAGGCGGGCCCUUAAGUGGGGGGUGAAAGGUUGGGGCUCAACCCCAACACUGCCUUUCAUACUGGGGGCCUUGAGUGCGGGAGAGGUGAGUGGAAUGGUCGGUGUAGCGGUGAAAUGCGUAGAUAUCGAUCGGAACACCCAUGGCGAAGGCAGCUCGCUGGCCUGCAACUGACGCUGAGGCGCGAAAGCCGGGGGAGCGAACAGG
rnacentral:rRNA from 1 species